UUUUUAUUUAGCUUAAGUGUCAUAGUAGGCCAGUCAUUAAAGCCAAAACCCGAAAGAAAUUAGUAACUUGAUAAAAUUUUAGGGGGUUGUUAAAGAAGGUAAUAAUAACUUACUUGAUGAAUAACUUACCGUGUGAUUUUGCA